rnacentral:rRNA from 1 species
UACGUAGGGUGCGAGCGUUGUCCGGAAUUACUGGGCGUAAAGAGCUCGUAGGUGGUUUGUCGCGUUGUUCGUGAAAACUCACAGCUUAACUGUGGGCGUGCGGGCGAUACGGGCAGACUGGAGUACUGCAGGGGAGACUGGAAUUCCUGGUGUAGCGGUGGAAUGCGCAGAUAUCAGGAGGAACACCGGUGGCGAAGGCGGGACUCUGGGCCGAUACUGACGCUGAGGAGCGAAAGCGUGGGGAGCAAACAGG